rnacentral:rRNA from 1 species
GGUGGAGCGAUUUGUCUGGUUAAUUCCGAUAACGAACGAGACUCUGGCCUAUUAAAUAGUAGAGUCAUUCUGAACAGUGAUUCUUACUUCUUAGAGGGACAAGCGGCGUCUAGCCGCAUGAAAUAGAGCAAUAACAGGUCUGUGAUGCCCUUAGAUGUCCGGGGCUGCACGCGCGCUACACUGAAAGAAGCAGUGUGCGUCGAGACCCUAGUCCGGAAGGACCGGGUAACCCAAGUAAAUUCUUUCGUGCUUGGGAUAGGGAAUUGGAAUUAUUUCCCUUAAACGAGGAAUUCCCAGUAAAUGCGGGUCAUAAGCUCGCGUUGAAUACGUCCCUGCCCUUUGUAC